rnacentral:rRNA from 1 species
CCUACGGGCGGCAGCAGUGAGGAAUAUUGGUCAAUGGGCGUAAGCCUGAACCAGCCAAGUCGCGUGAGGGAUGAAGGUUCUAUGGAUCGUAAACCUCUUUUAUAAGGGAAUAAAGUGCGGGACGUGUCCCGUUUUGUAUGUACCUUAUGAAUAAGGAUCGGCUAACUCCGUGCCAGCAGCCGCGGUAAUACGGAGGGUGCGAGCGUUGUCCGGAAUCAUUGGGCGGAAAGCGUUCGUAGGCGGUAUGUCAAGUCUGAUGUUAAAGACCGGGGCUCAACUCCGGUUCGGCAUUGGAAACUGGCAAACUAGAAUGUGGUAGAGGUAAAGGGAAUUCCUGGUGUAGCGGUGAAAUGCGUAGAUAUCAGGAGGAACAUCGGUGGCGAAAGCGCUUUACUGGACCAUUAUUGACGCUGAGGAACGAAAGCCAGGGGAGCAAAUGGGAUUAGAUACCCUUGUAGUC